AGCUUUGCGCAGUGGCAGUAUCGUAGCCAAUGAGGUUUAUCCGAGGCGCGAUUAUUGCUAAUUGAAAUGUCUCAAGUUCUAAACGUGUAUCUUUGAAGCAGUCUUGAGCCCUUGAAUACUGCAGAAGGUAUUUCCCAACCAAUAGG